UACGUAGGGGGCAAGCGUUUGUCCGGAUUUAUUGGGCGUAAAGGGCUCGUAGGCGGCCUGUCGCGUCGGGAGUGAAAGCCCACUGCUUAACGGUGGGUCUGCUUUCGGUACGGGCGGGGCUAGAGUAUGGCAGGGGAGACUGGAAUUCCUGGUGUAGCGGUGGAAUGCGCAGAUAUCAGGAGGAACACCGGUGGCGAAGGCGGGUCUCUGGGCCAUUACUGACGCUGAGGAGCGAAAGCGUGGGGAGCGAACAGG
rnacentral:rRNA from 1 species